GGCGCCCGCGGUCCGCAUUGAAUCCCUCACCCUUCCUUUGAUGCCACACGUCAGCAGCUCUAGCUGAGUCGGACUUGCACCUCUAGCUGAGUCGGGCGAGUGCCGAUGUGGCAGCUGGCCGCGGUCACGUGACCGAGCGUGACCCUUGUGCAGGCCGAGUAGAGGGCGUUGUUUUGUGCCCAGUGUGCUGAGGGGCGGACGUGUGAGCUGGAGCUGCGCGAACUGCAGAGUGAGCACCGCGGAGUCGGGCUGCUCGUGAGUCCGGGGAUGUUUGGCGGCCGAGCUGUGGCUGUGGGUUCCCCCGUGACUGACCGUGUGGACGGAGCGAUCUUCGUGACAAGAUCGACUCGUUGAGCGCCGGAGACGUGAACAGCCGUAACGGACAGUUUCGGACUGCCUCGAGAGCUGCAGACGAAUAGAGGUCCAGUUGACGGCACAGCGUGUUUGACUACGAGGGCGCUCGGUUUGGCCCACGGCUGAGGCCGUGGCGGCUACAGUUACGGCUGAGUCUUCAUCGGCCACGCCCGUCUGCGUCCGUCGGCUUCUCUGCUGCGCUGCGGUUGAGGACGCCAGCCCGCGGCCGAGUGAGACUGA